rnacentral:rRNA from 1 species
GAUGAACGCUGGCGGCGUGCCUAAUACAUGCAAGUCGAGCGAACAGGCGAGGAGCUUGCUCCUCUGACGUUAGCGGCGGACGGGUGAGUAACACGUGGAUAACCUACCUAUAAGACUGGGAUAACUUCGGGAAACCGGAGCUAAUACCGGAUAAUAUAUUGAACCGCAUGGUUCAAUAGUGAAAGACGGUUUUGCUGUCACUUAUAGAUGGAUCCGCGCCGCAUUAGCUAGUUGGUAAGGUAACGGCUUACCAAGGCAACGAUGCGUAGCCGACCUGAGAGGGGGACCGGCCACACGGGAACUGAGACCGGGCCCAGCCUCUAACGGGAGGAAGAAGUGGGAAAUCGCCGGAAAGGGGCGAAAGCCUGAGGGACCACCGCCGGGUGGGUGAAAAAGGUUUUGGUAUCGAAAAACUCUUUUAUGGGGAAAAAACAAAUGUGAAAGUAACUAUGCCCGCCUUGAGGGUCCCUAAUCAAAAAGCCACGGCUAACGACGUG